rnacentral:lncRNA from 1 species
AGCGAUGGCGGAAGUUAAUUCGAUUGGGUCGAAGUUGGUAUAGGUCUCUAGUUGCGAUUAGAGACGGAUUUGAGUUGUAUGAGUUCUUGACUUGAGGUGGUUGUGUCGGCGGCCGACGACAUGAUGCCAAGAGUCUAGGACGAGUACGCUUGUGUGCUUCCGUCUGAUUUUUGUUGUUGAGUCGUCAUGUGUCGUAAUUCCGACGAGGAAGUUGGUUAAAGUGAUUAA